UACCAGCACCCCGAGUGGUCGGGACGAUUAUUGGGCCUAAAGCAUCCGUAGCCGGUUUUACAAGUCCUCCGUUAAAUCCAGCUGCUUAACAGAUGGGCUGCGGAGGAUACUAUAAGACUAGGAGGCAGGAGAGGCAAGCGGUACUCAGUGGGUAGGGGGUAAAAUCCGUUGAUCCAUUGAAGACCACCAGUGGCGAAGGCGGCUUGCCAGAAUGCGCUCGACGGUGAGGGAUGAAAGCUGGGGGGAGCAAACCGG
rnacentral:rRNA from 1 species